AGAUUGAACGCUGGCGGCAUGCCUUACACAUGCAAGUCGAACGGCAGCACGGGAGCAAUCCUGGUGGCGAGUGGCGAACGGGUGAGUAAUAUAUCGGAACGUGCCCAGUCGUGGGGGAUAACGCAGCGAAAGCUGUGCUAAUACCGCAUACGAUCUAUGGAUGAAAGCGGGGGAUCGCAAGACCUCGCGCGAUUGGAGCGGCCGAUAUCAGAUUAGCUAGUUGGUGGGGUAAAAGCCUACCAAGGCGACGAUCUGUAGCUGGUCUGGAGAGGACGACCAGCCACACUGGAACUGAGACACGGUCCAGACUCCGUACGGGAGGCAGCAGGUGGGAAUUUUGGGACAAUCGGGGACGUAC
rnacentral:rRNA from 1 species